rnacentral:lncRNA from 1 species
UGAUUUCUCCCCGUUUCCAGGCCUUGUUGGUCAGACUGUUGGCUCCUGGUUGCUGUGUGAGCCUCUGCCUGACCUCUUUGCUCCCUGGUGCUUGGCACAAGCAGGAGAGGUUGGCUGGCAGAUUGUACAGCCCCAGCCCUUUGUUAAAUUUCCUCUGGAGAAGAAUGAGGUGCAAUUAAGGCCAAUUCUUCAUUAGGAGGAAUGAAGAGCUGAACCGUAACCACUCAGCCCCCUCACAGCAUCCAAACAGAGCUUGGAAAGUGGGGCCAGGCCUCUGCCACCCUUGCCUCCGUCCUCCAGCCCCUGUGCUCAGCAGACUGAGAGCCAAGGACAUGUACCCUCUCCAGGGCUGUCAACCGACCAGUGACAGGAAGCAGGUCUAAAGGCUCAUUUAACUGCAAAACAGCACCUGUCUUUUUAGGCGAGAGCAGGCUUUGCUUGUCAACCCUGUCAGCAGCACGGGCCUUGCCUGGAGGCACCCGAUUGUGUCAGAGGGGUCACACUGAGCACUGCGACACGCAGCACUGGCUGGCAUGGGGGCAGGAGGCUGUCGGCACGUUUUCUCUGCAAGGACAGCGGGAACUCAAGAUCAAAAAUGCUGAAGAUUGGAAACGUCCCAAUAUACUCCUUCUGUCACAUCUACGUUGUUGGACUGUUUUUACCUCCUCACUAAAGAUGGUCAGAGAUGAAGCCAAAUACAAGCAUGAGAGGAAGUUCUAGAGUUGAGAAGCAAAAUUACAUGGCAGGUAUGCACCUGAAUUUCCCUCUCAUGUAAGAGUUAAGCAUCUCAGCCAAGAGCAGGAUGGCCUUUCUCUGGUCUUUUUUUUUUUUUUUCCUUGCUGCAUUAUACACAAAAAUGUAUGUAUGGUAGGGAAAAUGAAGCUCUGUUUUGAAAAAUCUUUGUAAAACAUAAAAUCGAGAAGCUCUACUAAGCUCAUUUUAUUCUGGUGUAUAUCUACUGUAGUUCUGCAUAAGUCAUUGGAAUUGUAUGGCUGGGAGGACAGAAUCAAGAUUCACUAUGAUAAUUUAAAUUUAUAAAUAGGUUGCCCUAUUUAUUUAUUUUUUUAAUAAUAAAGGAAGGUGAAGAGUGUUUUCA